rnacentral:rRNA from 1 species
UACGGAGGAAAAGAAACCAACAGGGAUUGCCCCAGUAACGGCGAGUGAAGCGGCAACAGCUCAAAUUUGAAAUCUGGCGCCCCCCCGCGGGCGCCCGAGUUGUAAUUUGCAGAGGAUGCUUUUGGCGAGGCGCCUUCCGAGUGCCCUGGAACGGGACGCCACAGAGGGUGAGAGCCCCGUCUGGUCGGCCGCCGAGCCUCUGUAAAGCUCCUUCGACGAGUCGAGUAGUUUGGGAAUGCUGCUCUAAUCGGGAGGUAUAUGUCUUCUAAAGCUAAAUACCGGCCAGAGACCGAUAGCGCACAAGUAGAGUGAUCGAAAGAUGAAAAGCACCUUGAAAAGAGGGUUAAACAGUACGUGAAAUUGUUGAAAGGGAAGCGCUCAUGACCAGACUUGGGCCCUGCGGAUCAGCCGGCGGUCCUCCGCCGGCGCACUCCGCCGGGCGCAGGCCAGCAUCAGCUCGCGCCGGGGGACAAAGGCGGCGGGAACGUGGCUCCCCCAGGGGAGUGUUAUAGCCCGCCGCGCAAUGCCCCGGGGGCGGACUGAGGCCCGCGCGCUCCUGCGCAUGGAUGCUGGCGUAAUGGUCAUUAGUGACCCGUCUU